rnacentral:rRNA from 1 species
UACGUAGGGGGCAAGCGUUGUCCGGAUUUAUUGGGCGUAAAGAGCGUGUAGGCGGCCAUACAGGUCAGCUGUGAAAACUCGAGGCUCAACCUCGAGACGUCGGUUGAAACCAUCUGGCUAGAGUCCGGAAGAGGAGAGUGGAAUUCCCGGUGUAGCGGUGAAAUGCGCAGAUAUCGGGAAGAACACCCGUGGCGAAGGCGGCUCACUGGGCUGACCUUGACGCUGAGGCGCGAAGGCGUGGGGAGCGAACGGG